AACGAACGCUGGCGGCGUGCUUAACACAUGCAAGUCGAACGCGAAAGGGACUUCGGUCCUGAGUAAAGUGGCGCACGGGUGAGUAACGCGUAGAUAACCUGUCUUCAUGUCUGGAAUAAUACGCCGAAAGGGGUACUAAUACCGGAUAUUCUUGCUUUUCAUAAGUUAUGCAAGCAAAGGUGGCCCCUGCAUAUGCUACUGCAUGAAGAGGGGUCUGCGUACCAUUAGCUAGUAGGUGGGGUAAUGGCCUACCUAGGCGACGAUGGUUAGCGGGCCUGAGAGGAUGAUCCGCCACACUGGCACUGGAACACGGGCCAGACUCCUACGGGAGGCAGCAGUGAGGAAUAUUGCGCAAUGGGGGAAACCCUGACGCAGCGACGCCGCGUGAGUGAAGGAAGGCCUUCGGGUCGUAAAGCUCUGUCAAGAGGAAAGAAGUGUACAAUGGCUAAUACCUGUUGUAUUUGACGGUACCUCUAAAGGAAGCACCGGCUAACUCCGUGCCAGCAGCGGC
rnacentral:rRNA from 1 species